rnacentral:rRNA from 1 species
CGAUGGAGGGACGCAGGAGGCUAGCAGCGCGUGGUGCUGGAUACCACGUUCAAGCGUCAAGUCUGAGAGCGAGUCAAAUGCUUGCUCUCAUGAGGACAAGGCGUGAUGAGGAGCGAAAUUAAAGUAGCGAAGGCUGCGACGUCACACUGCCGAGAAAAGCUUCUAGCCAGAGACGGUGUACCCGUACCGCAAACCGACACAGGUAGUCGAGGAGAGUAUCCUCAGGUGAGCGAGAGAACUCUCGUUAAGGAACUCGGCAAAAUGGCCCCG